GACGAACGCUGGCGGCGUGCUUAACACAUGCAAGUCGAACGGUGAAGCCUUUCGGGGUGGAUCAGUGGCGAACGGGUGAGUAACACGUGAGCAACCUGCCCCUGGCUCUGGGACAACCACUGGAAACGGUGGCUAAUACCGGAUACGACCCGCCUCGGCAUCGAGUGUGGGUGGAAAGUUUUUCGGCUGGGGAUGGGCUCGCGGCCUAUCAGCUUGUUGGUGAGGUGAAGGCUCACCAAGGCGACGACGGGUAGCCGGCCUGAGAGGGCGACCGGCCACACUGGGACUGAGACACGGCCCAGACUCCUACGGGAGGCAGCAGUGGGGAAUAUUGCACAAUGGGCGAAAGCCUGAUGCAGCGACGCCGCGUGAGGGAUGACGGCCUUCGGGUUGUAAACCUCUUUCAGCUCCGAAGAAGCGAAAGUGACGGUAGGAGCAGAAGAAGCACCGGCUAACUACGUG
rnacentral:rRNA from 1 species